CAAUGGCAUUGAUUUUAGGAAGAGUUUAUACAGAAUUUAGAAGUGGGAGUGUCUUAUGACUGCUGCCCCUUUCUCCAUGAUCCCCUUCAGCCCUAAAUGUGAAGAUUAACCGAGUCAUUGUUAGUGUGGUCUGGAAGCAGAAGAACAGAACUCACAGCCAAGUUAACUUCAGAGAAGGAGCAGAAACCUUGACAAGAACAGAGGUGAAAUGAAUGGAUGUCAGGAGCAAAAGCUUAUCAUCUCUAUCCCAACAGCAGCAUUUAGGAACCAUUGAUUUUCCUGAAGCUCAACCCCAGAAGUACUCUACAAGCUACAUUCCUAGUUCUUUUUAUUUUGAGACAAGGUCUUGCUGUGUUGCCCAGGCUGGCUUUGAACUUGAGGUCCUCCUGCCUCAGCCUUCCAAAUAGCUGAAAUUUCAGACAUGCACCACCUCUGCUAGGCACUUGAAUAUUUUUGAUUAAUACCUUGCAUAUAACUGGUGUUCCAUAACUGUUAAAGCCAAAGGCUUAAAA
rnacentral:lncRNA from 1 species